rnacentral:rRNA from 1 species
UACAGAGGUGGCAAGCGUUGCUCGGUAUCACUGGGCUUAAAGGGCGCGUAGGCGGUGCGGUACGGUUUCGGUGAAAUCCCUCGGCCCAACCGAGGAACAGCCGGAGCUACGGCCGCACUAGACGGCAUCAGGGGACAGUGGAACUUCCGGUGGAGCGGUGAAAUGCGUAGAUUUCAGGAAGAACACCAAUGGCGACGGCAGCUCUCUGGGACGGUACUGACGCUGAGACGCGAAAGCGUGGGGAGCGAACAGG